UACGGAGGGUGCGAGCGUUGUCCGGAAUCAUUGGGCGUAAAGGGCGCGUAGGUGGCCCCUCAAGCGUGCGGUGAAAGUCAGGGGCUCAACCCCUGAUCGGCCGUGCGAACUGGGGAGCUUGAGCACUGUAGAGGCAGGCGGAAUUCCGGGUGUAGCGGUGGAAUGCGUAGAGAUCCGGAAGAACACCAGUGGCGAAGGCGGCCCGCUGGGCAGUGGCUGACGCUGAGGCGCGACAGCGUGGGGAGCAAACAGG
rnacentral:rRNA from 1 species